CAAAAGAAAGGAGAGGGAAGGAGAGAGGAGAAAGAGAAGGAAUGACAGAACGAGUUCCCUUCUAUGAAAGCUUUUCACAGGCCCCUUGAGUUCCUAUCAAGAUGAAAUGAGAGGGAUUUGACCCAGCGUCUCCACCCAAGCAUCGAGCACUCAAGCUGCAGCAAGCGUUCCCUGCUCAAGCCUAGCACAUAGCAGGUUAGAAUAUGUACCUGAGCACUUUGACUCCAAACAGCUGAAACAACAAUACCUCCUUUUCUACCUUUAGAACAAGAGAAGAAUGUUAUUUUUCUUCCUUCUGAAGAACAGCUAUAACAGCCAGUUUAUUAAGGCACCUCUGAAUGGGAUGUGAAUGCUAUUCCUGUCAUCCUUUGGCUUCAGUAAUUGUCUGAUUCAGACCCAAAAAAUUAUAAAUUGGGAUUCUUUCUAACACAUAGUCAAAAGUCUCGAUCUAACUGAAAACAGUGGCUCUUUGGAGGCAAGAGAUAGUCUCUUUAUCAAUAACUAAAUGCUAAAGAUGGAGUUAAUGAAGUAUUAGAACA